GGGGAGGGGGAGAGAUGCCAAGAGGAGGGGGGCCACAGGGCCUGAAAAAGAUUGUGGAUUGAGAAUUAAUGAAAUUAACCUAAUCUUUUCCAUUCGGCAGCCCCGGCGCGGCCCCGGCCUUGCUGGGCGGGCGGCCUAAUUGCCCAGGUUAAUCUUAUUAAUACUAUUGUCCUGCCGCCGUUAACAACUCCGCCGCCGACCUCUCCGCCCCGACCCUUUUCUCUCUAUUAUGGGGUGCGAUUUCCUAUGGUUGUAGCUCAAAUUCAUUGUGGCUAAUUUUACUUUAGGACUACUUUUUACUCUCUUUCGGAAUCUGUUUGCUUUUAAGAAAUGAGGGUGGCUGUGUCCUCCCUCAACUAAGACUGAAAGUGCCCCCCCCCCGCAGCCAACCCCCUACCCCGUGAACUCACUGCCUAAUUUCACUUCUCCACCCCCCCCUCCGUCUCUUUCCCAAAAUCUUUUGUUUUUGCGAAAGCCAAAUUUUCUCAGAGCAAAAACCAUGAAAGUAGAAACGCGUCCGCCUUCGUACAAGUUGUCUUUUUUCUUCUUCUUCUUCUUAAAGCGGUCACUCUGGGUCUGAAAACUACCCUGACUCUCCCUAGCUCCUAACACACCAGUGAAGAGCAAAUUCAGCCAGUCUUUAAAAUUCACCACCCAGAGGAGCGCUCUGAAGCGAUGCUUCCAGAGGCUUCCCGCGUGGGUGCCGAUAGGUUCUGUGUAUUUUUGAUUAUUAGUCUGGGAGAAGGGGUGCCUUCCCCCCCCCCAAAAAAAAUUUUUUUGGCUUUAAUUCUCGUGGGAUCUACCGGGACUGCCUGUCUCCUUUCUCAACAUAUUGAGUGGCGUCCCUCUCUCAAUCAGCGAGCUCUCCGAAAGGCCUCUAGCUGUCCUUCCAGGCCCGCGCUGGCCUCCGGGGGACCCCAGCGGCCUGGACAAAAGUCGGGCCACUGCGGGCGGCCGUGAUGAUUUGCGGGAUUCUCCGUGAGGCACGGCCGAACCGCGGGAGGCGCAGCCAGCCUAGAUCUGCGCGCUGGCGGCUGGGCGACCUGCGGGAAGGAACAUCAGCCAAACUGCUGUCUGCCUUUCCCACAGACGACUUCUCAAAGGCCCAUUGUACUUCUGGCCGGCCUUUCCCAUUUCCUAGUUGUGCAGAAGUGUGACACUGUGGAGCUUACACCAGCUCUGCAGGUGGAGGCACUUGGGCUCCAACUCACUGAGAAGCCAUCCACCCUGAGGAUCCGCUGUCCUGGCUAAACUGGAAAGACAGACGUCUCUGAAAGGCCUUGGGUAAAGCCUGGCUCCCAGUCCACGCCCAGGAAGGCCAAUUUCCUUCCAUCCUCCUCAGCACGCUGAUCUUCCUGUUACUCCUGCUGCAAGCCUUGACUCUGAGAGUGGCAGCCACUAAGGGGAAAGAUGGCUAGCACUCUGCUUUCAAGGAUCUGUCCAGGGACCCAUACUUGCUCCUCCUGAACUGCAUGCCCAGACCAGUGCUACCAUUUCUCUGCUUGGAGACUUUCUGGAGACAGCACAGGAAGGGGACCCUAAGCCUUCCAGCUAUACCAAAGGGUUGUUGAGCUCCCCUGGAGGAAGGCAAGAAGCAUGGAGCCUCAGUUGUACACAGGGACAUCUUGAGUCACUCUCUGAAGUGUCUACUCCAGAGAUACUGUGUUUCAGACAAGGAUGGUGAUUCCAGUCCUUGGGAGACAGAGAUACUGUAAUCCUGUUCCCUGUCCACUGGUGCACGUGCAGACCUUUUAUCAGCAGGGAUUCCUCUACCCAGCUGGACCCUUGCUGUGUUUCUGCUUUGUCCCCCAAGACGAAUAACUGAACAUCGGCGGAGUGGAUGCUGAGAAUCUGGUGAGCUAUGAGUACUAUCCAGAAGGAUCCUGGACGGGUCUGAACACUUUUCAUAUCCCUGAAGCUCCCAGGUAAGGCUUGAGUUCAAGCCUCAAAACACACGGGUUGUCCAGCCUCUU